CUACGGAGGGUGCAAGCGUUAUCCGGAAUCAUUGGGUUUAAAGGGUCCGUAGGCGGGCUAAUAAGUCAGGGGUGAAAUCCCACAGCUUAACUGUGGAACUGCCCUUGAUACUGUUGGUCUUGAGUUACAGUGAAGUGGUUAGAAUGUGUAGUGUAGCGGUGAAAUGCAUAGAGAUUACACAGAAUACCGAUUGCGAAGGCAGAUCACUAACUGUAUACUGACGCUAAUGGACGAAAGCGUGGGGAGCGAACAGGAUUAGAAACCCCGGUAGUCC
rnacentral:rRNA from 1 species